GCUGAGCGAGGGGCUGCGGGCAGAGGGGCUGCAGAGCUCGGGACCGCAGAGCUCAGGACCGGGACAGCUAAACAGGAUUAAGGGCAGGAUGACAACUCUGGGGAGGAUUUAGCAGUUACUUCUCUGUGUCAGCACGCGGUCGAUGGGCUCGCAGCCUGCGGCAGUACAGGGCUGCCUUCCUCCUUUACAAUGUGGGAUUGUGAGAUGGCAGGAAGAGCAGCAUGUGCCGGUUGUCUUUGCAAUCAUGCAAGGGAAGCGCAAGUGCCUCCUCCCAGGGUUUCUUCUUCCCUUUGUCACGGUGUCACUGGAGGAGGGCAGACCCGUCACAUACAAACGGCUUCAAAGGUACAGAUAAACCUUUCCGUGCGCUUGCCUUUGUGCCUCCCGCGGGCCGUAUUCACAGCCUGGGGGAAGCAAAUGCUCAUGUGAAGGUUAGCCCAGCUGUAGGUUCAAGGAGAGGUAAGAUUUCUGCCCAGAUUUUGGAAAACCCACCCGGCGUGUGGGGUGAAUUUUAGCGCUGCACUUUAAAAAGGCCCCAACCAAUUCCUCCUUCGAACACUAGAGGCUGUUUUCAGGCAUCGUUCCGCUUUCCCCUCGCUCAUCCCUUGGCUCCAGCUUUCUGGCACCGAGGGGCUGGCUUUGCGGACCCGUGUUUUGGGGGCAGGAGAGCCAAGUUCCUCACGUACAACGCCAAGCGGCGUUUCCCACAUGUUAGCUCGUGUGUCAAGCUGCUGCUUUGACACGAUCUCUUGAAGUACCAAGAAUGACGGAAGAGUAAAAAAAAAAAGAAAAACUGGCAGGAAGAGAUUUUUAAAUCAAUCCUUGUUCUGAAGUUACUUAAUAAAGCAAAGUAGAAACUUUUAGGCAAAAAGAAAAAAAAAAGACAAAGUUUUCCCCUUUCCUUCUAUGUUGUAUGACCUAGGACACUUCUAGCCUUCAUUUGUCCCUACCAAGGGCCCAACAUCACCAAACUUCAUCUCCUUUAAGGCCUGUAAAGCCCUUCUUGGAGCAUUUUUCAUACACUGAUACCACCGCAACGUCUCUCCUACACACACUUCCACAAAUGCCCAACCGCGCAGCCCCCUUAUCCUGCCUUUAACCCCGCAAGUGGGAGUCUCCGAUUCCUUGUUUAACAGUCCGGACAAAUACCUCAGGGUUUCAGCCAUGGCCUGGCGAUGCUAGCAGGUUGGAACAGACCCCGCCUUUGAGAAACGAUGCAGCAAUGGGGGAAAAUCCCUCCCGGCCACGCUGCACCUGCACGGGGGCAUUUCUGGGCCUGGGCUUAAGCAGCCGCCUCGUCACAGUUGUGUAACAGCCCUGGGCUGUGCAGGUUCACACACAAAAUCCAUCAUGACAGGGGUGACGGAUUUGCUGGUUUUGUCCCAAGAGACGUGGCACGGGGACGGGCGAGUUCAGCCUGACCCUGACGCCAGAGGAAUGCGUUUCGUCCGGGCUCCAGCUGCGUAGCGAGACCCUCCAGUGGGUGUUUAGUCUUUAUUACCUACAAUUACAUGCUUGUUGUUCCCACCCAGCCACCGUUUCCAAUACAACUGACACUCACCCUCGUUAUAGGUAAAAUAAUCCUUUGCAACGGAUGGGGAAUCUGUUGUAGCAGCACUUCUGCCACGUCCGGCUUCUCCUGGCUGCCCACGAUCUCGCUAGCAUGGAACAAGGUCAGCGUUAGUGCAAGGACAGAAGCCCCAGCGUGUUUAAGGCUACGUGGUGUAAAGUUACCUCUUGCUUUUCAAUAUGGGAAAAAAACCCGGGUUAAACAAAAAUCUCUAAUAACAGGAGAGCAAGGAAACAAGUGACAUGUGAAAAUACGUUUCAUACAAAACAAGGCUUUGCAAAGAGGAAGUCAUCAGGGCAGUCAAACCCAAGCUUUGAACCAAGAUGCCCAACCAGUGAGAAAUAUAAACGAUACACAGAAAACUUACAGAAGAAAAGAACACGACAAAAAAAUCACUCACUUCCACAAAAUGAUGCGACUUUAGACCAUUUAAAGUUUUCAAAGCAGCCGGCUUGGGGGAGGGUGCCAGAGAUACCCAUGUACUUUGGAGGGCACAUGGAUCCUUGCCUGGUCCCAGGAGAAUAGUAGGUUUGGGUUUUGUACAAAGGUACAACAAAUCUGGCCGCUGAGGUAGCGCAGCCCCUGGACACUGAAGAGAAACAUGGGAAAAAAUGAAAACUCCAGGUGUAGGACUGGGAUUAACCAGGGCGUCCUGUGGAUGAGUUCCCCUGACCUCCCAAUGAGCCUCCAGGACUCACCUGGUGUCCUGGAGAAUGAAGAAGAAUGGGAGAGGGAGAUGGUGUUUUGGAGUGACUUUUUGUAAAGGUUGAGCUUCAUUUCCCACGUGAAAGCCUUCUUAGACGGUUGGGUGGCAUUUCCUCGGGAACCUGAAAGGAUGAAAAUCACGGUGUGAAAUUCAUCUGAUGGCUUUUUUUGUAGAAAUGUGAGAAGGGAGCAAAUUAAGUUGGGAAACAUGGGACUUGAUUCAAAGUAGAAUAAUUUUGACUCACUUUGGGGAGGAGGCCUCCUUUCCAUUUCUUUUGCUCCAAGUUUGACAGAUGUGCUUUUCUCUAGGGUAUAAAGAAUAAGCAUUGCUAGGAGCACUACGCCUUUCUUGCACAGACCGUUCAUUCCUUACUCACUUCAGCAGCACUGCAUUUUUUCCCCUCUUUAAAAUUGCAAUAUGACUUAUGCUUGGCAUGUCCCGUAUUAAGGAAUCGCAGUAUGUCAACCUGGUGCACGCUAAAUACUGAACUCAAAUACCAAACUCGGAUGAAAUCACCUUUGCAUUCAGGCGCAGCUCCGCUCCAGACUCCGUCUGGUUUGUCCGUGCUCGUACAGCGGAUGCUCGCAUUUCCGACGAGUUGGAAGCCAGAGUCACAGCUGUAAGUCACUGUUGAGUUAUAAGCAAAUUUUUCUACACCUUUGCCAUCAUGUUUUCCGUUGCUAAUUUGAGGAGGUGAAGAGCAGGUAAUUACUGCAGGAAAGAAGGUCAACAUGAGUAUUGCAAAAUGGUUCAGUAAUAACGAAAACGCAAAAUGUUUCUUGAGUCCACCUAAGGUUCUUGAAGACACUAAACGUUUUGGACAACAGAAGGUGGGUAACUAGCACUGCCUUCUGUCUCGAGCAUCUCUCUUUUCUUUCUGAAGUGCUCCUCUUGUCACAUCUUUCUCGCUCUCGCUCCAAGGGUCACAAAAAUAAACAGGCAACGUGCCGUGCCCUGGCUCGUGAUGCCUUGAAAUCUCUUCCCAUCACCUUCACUGCAACCUUAACUCAUGAGAAAAUAUGUUGAUCUUGUGGGAACAAAGCUGCUGAAAUACAGCGUCAGCAGCCAAAUGGGUAUUUCUCAGCGGCAGUGCUGGUGACAGAUCUGCCACACAACAUCAACAAAAGCAAACAAAGCACAGACACAGGUUUAGACUAGACAUGAGUAUGUGGGAUCUGCUGGAGAGAAGGCAAAAGUAAGGUUGGAUUAAUCUUACAUUCACAAGUUGGAAGUUUACUCCAUUCAACGUCGUUUCCUUUAAGCUGACACUGGAUGAAAUGACGCCCAUCUAAUUUGUACCUAAGUGAAAAUGCACAAGAAAAGAAAAAUGUGUGCCGCUAUCCAGAAACUGAACACAAUUCCCCCCCGCCCAGUACCUGUAUGAUCAGGAGCCUAGAAAAGGCAGUUUUAAAGCAAGCAGGUGGGCUGAUACAAGCAGGUUAAAGGAGAGCUCCUUCACCUGGCGCUCUGCCAGGAUCCUUAUUAAUCUAUUUUCAGGCGAUUCUCCCCUUCGACUCACUGCAGAGCGCAUCUUCCAUUGCAAGGGUGGGAGAAGUCGCAGCUGGCAGCUAGCAGAGCACGCAGCGGAUGCCAGAGAGCGCUGAGGUUAGAUGCGGAUUCCCACAUGGAUGCCCUGGGCUUGGGUUUGCUGAAUGAGGCACUAUUUCUCCCUGCCCGCUUCCUGGCGGAGCACAGUGCUGGGAUUCAGGCCGCUGGCGUCCAGCGCCUUUCCCACGCCGCCGUCACCCCCCAGGAGGAGGUGACGAGGUGAGGAGCUCCCUCCUGAGCACACGCAGCAUCUCGAAAGGCUGUGGCUCAGCCCCUGACUGCUGCUGCGCUUCGCGGCGGUGCUGCAUGACCGAGGUCAGUUAGCUGGACCUGCUGCAAUCCUCAGUGCCGGCGGUAGCGGGCAGGGCACCCAGCCUCCUUCAGUGCCACCGCCUCCCUAGGAGAUUGCUCUUGGGUUGCUAAAUUCUGCCAGAAAAGCAAAUGACAGCAGGCUGCUGUUGUGCCUCCUCACCUGGUCUCUGCAAAUAUUCAAAUGCUUCCACUACAUACAGCAGGGCCCGGGGGUCGGGGGCAACAGGGAUCUACGUUCCAUUAAAGUGGCUUUUGGGUUGGCUUGCUGGAAACUAAUACUCCUUGUUCUGACAGCACUGACACAUUCCCCAAUCUCUGAAUUAUGCCCUCCUGUUCAAAAAAAUUCACCAUUUGUACAUGAUGGAUAGUAUCCGAUCUUGCCUAGAUGGAUAACAUUAUCCCUCCACCCUGAUGUGUAUUGCUGAAGAUUAACCGAACCCCAGAAGGGUGGGAAAUGCUGUCAUUUCCCAAAGUCCACGCUAAGGGAAUAUCUGAAGAAAGAAAUCUAUCUGUCACAUUUGAAGCAGCUGCAAAGACUGACAGAACAAGGCAGAAGAUGCCAGCUAGCUCCUGCUAGGGAGGGAGGAAUGCUAGCUGGAGUCUUAAGAGUUUAAUUUUGCGAGUGUCUACUGCAUGUGUGCUGAUUGAAAGCAGGCAAAAAGUGUGAGUCAGCUCACUGACGGACGGAAAGUGUGCUUCAUUGCAGUUUUCUAGCUGAACAUCAUUGUAUUUUUAAAAUUCAAAGGUAACGCCUUUUAAUUCAAUAUAUCUCCAAUAUGUUAAAUUGAAAUCUUUUAAGUAACCUGUUUUGAACUGAUGGUACAACCAGCUCUGUAGGGGAGGUUAGAUUUCCUCUGGAUGACACCUGAAGGAAAGGUAGCCAUAAAUUCAGACCCCGCUCCCUUCCCUGCAGCCGCGUGUCAUUCCUUCCCAGCCCAAAGCUGUGAUUCAAGUGGGAAAAGCAGCCCCAUGCUCUGCAUUCGGAGCAACACCGCAAGAGCGAUAUAUUGUGAAAUAGCAGCCCAGCCCAUGUCCAUAGUUCAUUGCACUGGACAGGAGUUUGCAUUCCAGCACCAGCACUGGUGUACUGGAGCUCGGGGGCAUUGCCCCGUGACUCACCCGUCUUCGCAGAACACGUUCACUCGUGCACCGAACUGCAAGUCUGUGAGAACAACCGUCCUGCCCCCGGGCAGCGCGCCCGGCUCGCCGCAGGAUCUCCCUGCCAGAGAACGAGGCCAGCGUUAGUGGAAACACACCAUGAUGGAGAGAUAAAAAAGUCUAAAUAAGGAACAGACUUAGAGGGUUAUACCCAAAGGUACCAAAGCGUUUCACUUCCCACGUGCCACAGCCGAGCUGGCAGGGGCCAGAAUCAGCUGUAGACCGAGGUGGGAUGCCCCGUAAGGGCUCCACGCUCACAGCCGUAAGCGUCUCACGGGAGGGCGGAGGAGAAUAUUUGCAGAGACAUUUCCCUCUCGACAGACUGGCAGUAAGUUACUUGACUGUGAAAAAUGUAUUGCUGCCACAUCAUCAAUCUUAACAUUACAUAGAUGUCACCGAGAAACACGCUUUGUCUUAAUUUUGAAGUUCAGUGCUAGAGUUGCAAAUUGGCAUUUGUCCUGUGCAUAUGCUGUGUCCAGAUGCACAUGUUUCCCAACAUGAAAAUCAAAACAGAUCUGUUCAUACCAGCAGAAAGAAAAAAGAACACUAUCGAUACUCCUGCUGUUCAGACUUAAAUACGAAUGUCAAGGAAUAUCCACCUAGUUUUGCAUUAAACACGUAGCUGUUGGGACGAUAACGACCCGGCUGCAUUUCAGCACGCGGGUUGGGAGCAGCCACCUGACCUGCUCCAACCUCCACAGCUGCUUUUUGGCAAGCAGCGCGGAGCAGAGAUACUCACUCCUGCACAACUCAGCGGCUUCCGACCACACCAGGUUUUCAAGGCAAGUGCUAGUGGGGGAACUUUCCGAGGUGUUCUCGUAGCCGCGGCGGCAGACGUAGCUCACGUUGGUCCCCACAGGAAAGAAAUUAAUUGUCUCGUCCGCCUUGGACAGGGCAGCAAACCGCAACCGUGUUGGGGCAGGACAGCUCCCUGGCAGUCAAGGAAAGCGGGCCUGAAAGAGCUGCCCGCGGGGAGGCACGCAAAACAAACCUCGGAACCGCAGAAAUGCUCUCGCUACGGUGCUUUUGGAAAAUUGCAGGUUACUUCGGUAUUUCGUCCCAGGCUGCUGCUCUGCUCAAUGCGUCUUUUGCGAAGCGCAGGUGAAGAUGCAUUAAGCGCGGAGGCGAAGCUGUUAGUAGGGGACAAGAAGCCGCUCGCACAGCCUCUGCCAGCCGGGGCUCGGGAGCCGGGCGAGCAUCCUGCGCUCCAGCCAGUCUGACUUACCCCUUCGAUGGCCGACACGGAUCCUGCGCCCAGCAGCAGCUCUGAUGAUCAGCAGCUAAGGGAAGCGGUUUUGUACCUUGCCAGGAUGGGCGGUGCCAUUGCAGAGCAGCCACCGUAAGCAGCAGAAAUUUGAAGCCAAGCGAGAGACAAGCGAAGGAGCCGUGUUUCAGAGAAAGGAGGUAUUUACGGCCACAGGGCUCGGGCAGCUUUGACCAGCGCGCGCCGGGCAGGCACUCCGCCGUGUCCGACCUCUCGGGGAUCUUGAUGGCGCCUUCGAGGCACGUGUACGUCACCCUGGAUCCAACGGGGAAGCUGCUGGCAUGCUCAUCGCUGGAUGGUCUAGAGUAGUUCAUGGGAGGUGGGGGCCCACAGUCACCUGUGGCAGGAGGAGACCUCCUCAGGUGAGGACCCAGGUCCCUGGCCCCUUCCCCAGCCCCAGCGAGCAUCCCAGGAGGGCGGCUGGGCUGGCCCAGGCUUCUCCUCUGGGCAAAGGCACCGGCCAGGGCUGCAUCCACAAGAGCAUCCGUGAGAGCAUCAAGCAAUGGGUCUCCAGACUUGGGGGUGGUGGCGUCGCCCUCCCCAACCCCUGAGCAGCCAGGUAGGACCUGGGCAGGUCUUGCUGGUCCUCCCCACACAUCCCACGUCCCCAUACUCACUGCGAGCCACCGGCAGCCCUAGAAGCCCCAGCAAGGCCAGGAGGAGCACGGGGUGGCCGGACCCCCAUGCCCCGGCGGGUGCCCUGCAGCUCAGGGUGCCGAGGUGCUUCCCCCGUCCCGGUUCUCCAGGCUUCAUUGCAGCAAUCUCUGUGCUCUUCUGUUGAGCAUCUUUGGCUCCAAGGGGCUGUUUCCGAAGCUGGGAGGAGAUGCAGCACAGCAGACUCACGCAAGCGUCUGGAGCAGUGGACACUUUUCCAGAACACACAUAGAGCUGCAGGGACAUGGAGAUCAGCCAGGGGUGGAGGACAACUGCUAUUCACAGGCUUGGGUAAAGCCCUGGUCCUCCUGCCCGCACUGUAAGGGAUGGGGGAAUAACUCAACCCUUUUACUUGACCCAAGACUGGCAGUUUUAACCAAACCAAAUGCUACCAGAGCGGAAAAUAAGCCCACCCGGCCCCAAGCUGUGUCCAGGGUAGGAAAGUGCCUACUUAGUCAUUUGCUGGCAGGUAACGCAACACAGAUCUUCUAGGAGCAGAGUUAGGGAAGCAAAAAAAUAAAAGCAUUAGGCUUUUAGUUUGUUAA